UGGAUAAAACGAAGGUGUGGCUCUGC
rnacentral:piRNA from 1 species